rnacentral:rRNA from 1 species
CUUAGCGGCGGACGGGUGAGUAACACGUGGGUAAUCUGCCUUAUACAGGGGGAUAACAGUUAGAAAUGACUGCUAAUACCGCAUAAGCGCACGGAAACGCAUGUUUCAGUGUGAAAAACUCCGGUAGUAUAAGAUGAGCCCGCGUCUGAUUAGCUGGUUGGUGGGGUAACGGCCUACCAAGGCGACGAUCAGUAGCCGGCCUGAGAGGGUGAACGGCCACAUUGGGACUGAGACACGGCCCAAACUCCUACGGGAGGCAGCAG